rnacentral:rRNA from 1 species
GACGAACGCUGGCGGCGUGCUUAACACAUGCAAGUCGAGCGGUAAGGCCCUUUCGGGGGUACACGAGCGGCGAACGGGUGAGUAACACGUGGGUGACCUGCCCUCAGCUCUGGGAUAAGCCUGGGAAACCGGGUCUAAUACUGGAUAUGACUCCAUGACGCAUGUUGUGGGGUGGAAAGCCUUGUGCGGCUGAGGAUGGGCCCGCGGCCUAUCAGCUUGUUGGUGGGGUGANGGCCUACCAAGGCGACGACGGGUAGCCGGCCUGAGAGGGCGACCGGCCACACUGGGACUGAGACACGGCCCAGACUCCUACGGGAGGCAGCAGUGGGGAAUCUUGCGCAAUGGGCGAAAGCCUGACGACGCAACGCCGCGUGGAGGAUGAAGAAUUUCGGUUCGUAAACUCCUUUCGACCGAGAUGAAUACCCAUGGACUUAAUACGUCUGUGGACUGACAGUAUCGAGAGAAGAA